CCUACGGGAGGCAGCAGUGGGGAAUAUUGCACAAUGGGGGAAACCCUGAUGCAGCGACGCCGCGUGAGCGAAGAAGUAUCUCGGUAUGUAAAGCUCUAUCAGCAGGGAAGAAAAUGACGGUACCUGACUAAGAAGCCCCGGCUAACUACGUGCCAGCAGCCGCGGUAAUCCGUAGGGGGCAAGCGUUAUCCGGAUUUACUGGGUGUAAAGGGAGCGCAGGCGGGGCGGUAAGUCUGAUGUGAAAGCCCGGGGCUCAACCCCGGGACUGCAUUGGAAACUGGCGUGCUGGAGGGUCGGAGGGGCAAGUGGAAUUCCUAGUGUAGCGGUGAAAUGCUUAGAUAUCACGAAGAACCCCGAUUGCGAAGGCAGCCUGCCGCAGCGUUACUGACGCUGAAGCUCGAAAGCGCGGGUAUCGAACAGGAGUAGAUACCCCAGUAGUC
rnacentral:rRNA from 1 species